AGAGUUUGAUCAUGGCUCAGAACGAACGCUGGCGGCAGGCCUAACACAUGCAAGUCGAGCGCCCCGCAAGGGGAGCGGCGCACGGGUGAGUAACGCGUGGGAACGUGCCCAGAGGUCGGGGAUAACGGCGGGAAACUGCCGCUAAUACCCGGUAAGCCUUGAGAGGGAAAGGAGCAAUCCGCCUUUGGAGCGGCCCGCGUUGGAUUAGCUAGUUGGUGGGGUAAAGGCCCACCAAGGCGACGAUCCAUAGCUGGUCUGAGAGGAUGAUCAGCCACACUGGGACUGAGACACGGCCCAGACUCCUACGGGAGGCAGCAGUGGGGAAUAUUGGACAAUGGGCGAAAGCCUGACCCAGCAACGCCGCGUGAAGGAUGAAGGCCUUCGGGUCGUAAACUUCUGUCGAGAGGGAAGAAUGCGUACGGGUGAAUAAUCCGUGCGUUUGACGGUACCUCCAAAGGAAGCACCGGCUAACUCCGUGCCAGCAGCCGCGGUAAUACGGAGGGUGCAAGCGUUGUUCGGAUUCAUUGGGCGUAAAGCGAGUGUAGGCGGUUUGACAAGUCGGAUGUGAAAUCCCGGGGCCCAACCCCGGAACUGCAUCCGAUACUGUCUGGCUAGAGUCCCGGAGAGGGUGGCGGAAUUCCCGGUGUAGGGGUGAAAUCCGUAGAUAUCGGGAGGAACACCAGUGGCGAAGGCGGCCACCUGGACGGUGACUGACGCUGAGACUCGAAAGCGUGGGUAGCAAACAGGAUUAGAUACCCUGGUAGUCCACGCUGUAAACGGUGAGUGCUCGUCGUCGUGGGUAUUGACCCCUGCGGUGACCAAGUUAACACAUGAAGCACUCCGCCUGGGAAGUACGGUCGCAAGACUAAAACUCAAAGAAAUUGACGGGGGCCCGCACAAGCGGUGGAGCAUGUUGUUUAAUUCGAAGCAACGCGCAGAACCUUACCUGGAUUUGACAUCUCUGGAAUCUUCCUGAAAGGGAAGAGUGCCUUCGGGAGCCAGAAGACAGGUGCUGCAUGGCUGUCGUCAGCUCGUGUCGUGAGGUGUUGGGUUAAGUCCCGCAACGAGCGCAACCCCUAUCGUUAGUUGCUAGCAGUUCGGCUGAGCACUCUAGCGAGACUGCCGGUGUUAAACCGGAGGAAGGUGGGGAUGACGUCAAGUCCUCAUGGCCUUUAUAUCCAGGGCUACUAACGUGCUACAAUGGUCGGUACAGAGGGCUGCAAACCCGCGAGGGCAAGCCAAUCCCACAAAGCCGGCCUCAGUUCGGAUUGAAGUCUGCAAUUCGACUUCAUGAAGGCGGAAUCGCUAGUAAUCGCGGAUCAGCAUGCCGCGGUGAAUACGUUCCCGGGCCUUGUACACACCGCCCGU
rnacentral:rRNA from 1 species